rnacentral:rRNA from 1 species
UACAGGGGGGCAAGCGUUGUUCGGAAUUACUGGGCGUAAAGGGCGCGUAGGCGGGAUGGCAAGUCGGUCGUGAAAGCCUUCGGCUCAACCGAAGAACGUCGGCCGAUACUGCCGUUCUUGAGGGAUGCAGAGGAGACUGGAAUUCCCGGUGUAGCGGUGAAAUGUGUAGAGAUCGGGAGGAACACCGGUGGCGAAGGCGGGUCUCUGGGCAUCUCCUGACGCUGAGGCGCGAAAGCGUGGGGAGCAAACGGGG